AAUAGUUACAUACUACACUAUUAAUAUCUGGUCCUACAUGUCAUACACACACUGCGUCUUAGAAUUCGUGCUACAGCUGGCUAUAAAUCUGUAGCCCGCUGCCUUUCUCUCUCCUCAUUUAUCUGCUUAAAAUAUAUUUGCAGUUGGCUUAUAGCCUGCUACUGUAGAGCAGGUACAAUAGCAGGCUAUUAGCCAGCUAUAAACAUAUUUUAAUAAGAUAAACGAUGAGAGAGAAGAGCAGCGGGCUACAGAUCUGUAGCCAGCUGCAGCAUGGACUCCAAGACACACUGUGUGUAUGAUAGGUGGGACCAUAUAUUAAUAGUAUAGUAAGCAACUAUUG
rnacentral:misc_RNA from 1 species